GACCGCCAGUGAAAAUCGAUUUUCACUGGCGGUCGGCGUAAUAAAACCGCCAGUGAAAAUCGAUUUUCACUGGCGGUC
rnacentral:pre_miRNA from 7 species